UGGAAGGAGUGUUUGUGCGUCACUGGCUGCUGCAGAGAGGAACUAAAACAGUGUUUUUCCUAGGACCUACCAAAAUGGAGGCUGUUAUUGGGAAGACUCUCCAUAAGCACACCCAAGGGUGCUAGGACUUUGUGGGCUGAUUAAUUACGUGAAAGACGUCUGGGUUAGCCAUAUUUCCAUUUCUCCAGCCUCCCUCGGCAUGUCCCUGAGCAGCCCAUGUUGCCCUGAGAGGACGGAGCCCUUCACUUCUCUAAGAAGCUCAAGUGCCAAUUGUGGGUCAGCCACCCUCCUUCUAGACCACCCAGGCCAGAGGCUCCUGACAAGAGAGAAAGCUGGAGUUUUCAUCACCAGUCUCUCAUCCAAAUGACCACCUGGGCUGGCAAGACCUCCCCCUCCCCCCUUCAACUUCCUUUUUCAAUCCUGAACUACGUAUGCCGAGCAACGAUCCCAGCUCGAGGAGCUACUGACUGAGCAAAUGACUGACAGACAAAGCAGAACGUCAGUCCUGGGAUGCCCCUCGACUGGACACAGUUUAAUCAUCUCCCGUCAUCCAGACUGAUGUUUUCCUUCUGGCUCUGGGCUUUCGCUGGGAGACAUGAGCCAACGAUUAGAGUCUAUUCCAAACAUAUGGAGCCACUGCGGGCAGCUGCAGGAAUGCACAGCAGGAGACGAUCGGAGGGGAUGGAGAUAGGAGGAUACCAGGCAUGAGAGAGAGGAGAAUUCAAUUUACAGUGGUAUGUAAAUACCGAAUGAGUCAAUCCACCCAGGAUAGCGUACUCAUCCCAACCCAACUCCUGCAGCACCACAAGAGA